UUUUUUUUUUCUUUUGGCAUAAUUUCUCUCUCUCUCUCUCUAAUCCCAGAAUUCCUAGAUUUUCACAGGUGUAUUUCUCUGGCUACAGAGUAAGUGAGCUUCCCCAGGGAGUUCUGAUGAGGGACCUGUCUUGGUUACUGACCCUGAAAAGCGGUGUUCAGCCAGACCCUUUGGCCUUUGAGGUCUGUUUACUAUGGUUGGAACAAGUGGUCAGGAAGGAACAGUGUAUCAGGUUGUGCUUGCUUUUCUGGAUUUGCUUAAGUGGUUUUUAAAAAUAGAUGUUACGCAAAUAUAACAGAUUAUGCCUAACUUGGGAUAGUGGGAGCCUACUGCACCCCUGGAGAUUGGUGCAUUUCAACCAGUGUCCCAUCUUGUGUGCAGAUGAAGGAAUAGAGAUCUCUUGUCUAAUCUGAAUAUUCGGCAGCACCUGCAGUUUUCCAGGUAGGCCUUGCUGCAGGUCUUCAGGUUGUUCUGUCUGCUUGUUUUUCCCUGUUCAGUUCUUGAUACUAGUCAGACCUGGUCUGUAUCCGAAUCCCCAUGACGCAGAGCCAGUCAGCCUGGAACUGCGCUGUUUGUGUGCUCAGGUCCUGAACCAAGUGUACAGGUACAUGCCCCUUGCAUAUAACCUGCCUCAUUAUUCAGUUCUCCCACAGGUCUGGGCCACUCUUAAGACUGUGGCCCUUUGAUUUGGGGCCAAGAUUUCCUUCCUAGCUCUUGCCAUUCUCUCUCCCAGGAGCUAGAUCCUGACUGAAUAGCUGUUAUCUGGGCUUCAACCAGUCCUGUGUGUCAUGAGCUUAUGAAUAUCGUUCAUUCAUUUAUUAUUUGUUGGUUUUUAUUUUUUUAAUGGCAGCUGCCUUUUUUUUCUUCUUCUUUUUAGGGCUACACCUGCAGCAUAUGCAGUUCUUGAGCUAGGGGUCAAAUCAGAGCUGCAGCUGCCAGCCUAUGCCACAGCCACAGCUGCACCGGAUCCUUAACCCACUGUGCAAGGCCAGGGAUCAAAUCUGCAUCCUCACAGACACUGUGUCGGGUUCUUAACCUGCUGAGCCACAAUGGGAGCUUCCCAUUAUUUGUUUUUGUAAAUAUUUAUAUAAAUAUUUAUCAAUCACUUAGUAUGUGUCUUACCCCCUCUUCAUGCUGAAAAUGUAGAGGGGAACAAAAUGGUGUAACCCUUGUUCUCAGAGAGUUUAGAUUCUAGUGGGGAAGAAAGAUAUUAAGCCAAUAACCAGACAAGUAAAUAUCCAGUUACAAACUGUGAUAAAUCCUAUGAUGGAUGAGAACUAAAUUCUCAGAAGAAGUAGCAGGCAGGAUCUAAUUUGGAUUGGGUGGGGGUGAGGAAAGUUCUCCCAGAGUUAGCCAAGUGAGGACGAUGAGAAAGGUGAGCAAAUGCAGGUGAAAGGUCUCAGAGGUGGCACUGAGCUUGGCCUCUUUAAUGACUUCCACAGUGGCCAGUGAGACGAGAGCACUGAUUGCCAACCCUGACUGUGUGAGCAUCCAGUGGCUGCCAUAACUAACCCUUGCAAACAUACGGCCUGCAACAACAGGACUUACUUUCUCAUAGAUAUGGAGGCCACAAGUACAAAAGAAUACCCCCGGGCUAAAAUCCAGGGCAGUGCUCCUUCCAGAGGCUUGAGGAGAGCCUUGCUGUUCCAGCCAUUCUUUACUGUUCCAGCUUUCGGUGGCUGUCCACAUUCCUUGGCUUGUGGCCACGGCACUCCAGAUCUUCAGAUCUCUCUCUGCUCUACCUUCAUGUCACCUUUUCUCCUGUGUUUCUCAAAUCUCCCUCUGCCUCUCUUGUAUAAGGACAACUGUGACUGUAUUUGGAGCCCACCCAAAUAAUGUAGGGGAAUCUUCCUAACUCCAGAUCCUUAAUCAUAUUAGCAAAAUCCUUUUUUUUUUUUUUUUUUCAUAUCAGGAAACAUCUAUAGGUUUCAGGGAUUAGGACCUGAUAUCUUUGGGGGCCAUUAUUCAGCCCAUUACUCUGGAUUGCUUUAGUAAUCCCUGGAGGAACUUUUAUUUUUAUUUUUAAAAUUUUUUUACUUAUUUUUUCGCUUUGUAGGGCCAUACCCCUGGCAUAUAGAAGCUCCCAGGCUAAGGGUCGACUCAAAGCUACAGCUGCAACGCGGGAUCCGAGGUGCAACCUACACCACAGCUGAUGGCAACACCAGAUCCUUAACCCCCGAGCAAGGCCAGGGAUCAAACCCGUAUCCUCAUGGAUGUUAAUCGGGUUCGUUAACUGCUGGGAGCUCCCCUGGAGGAGCUUUUAAAUCUGCAUCGCCCACGCUCCACCUUACAUCACUUAAAUCAGAAUCUCUCUGUGAGGCUGGGGCAUGGAUAUUUUUAAAAGCCUCCCCAGGCGAUUCUGAAACAACUGCUAGACUCUGUGGCAGAUAACGUCUGGCCUAGAGCAUGAUGAAGGAAGAGCAGGUGUAGUAACAGGCAGGAUGUCAUCACAAUUUGGACACUUCUCCUGCUUUUAACCUGAUGGGACCUGUUGGCCAUCAAUGCCGACUGAAGGAAGCCCUCGCUGAAUGGACCUCUUGGGAAGGUUUUGUGGUUUAACUUCACUGGGAGCAUCUUGGCCCUGCUUCCUUCCAUUCCUGCUUCUUCUUUGCCAUCCAUCUGACGCUGAGGUCUUGGAGCACGUGAUGCCUCAGUCUGCCCAAGUUCUAAAGACGGCAUAGAGCUUACAAGUGAAGGGGGCUCAAAUGUCGCUCAUACUUUGCAGGCCUCACACAGAUAGAUCUCACACAAAUACAGCUGGGCGCUCCAGAGCUGUAAGCCCAAGUCUGAAGAUACCUUUGUAAAUUUGUAGGAAAAAAACAAAACCAAACAACUAAGGUUUGAACUACAAACAACCUUAGAGGCAGGCCCAGAACUGAGGAAGCAUGUCAGAGCCUCCAGAACUCAUGACUUGUUUUAGCCGUAGAGAGGGGAUAUUUUUCCUUUCUCACUGGACCCACUUAUCUAUGAAGAUGCUGGUGUUUUUCAGUGAAUGUAUUUGGGGAAAAUGGUAAUUGGGUCUAUCAAGAUCCCUGUGUUGAUGUGCAGCUUUGGCCCUAAGGACAAACGUAGACUCGGAACCACAUAGGCUUGUCACCUGGGAGCUACGAGGAUGACCAGGGAAUGUGCUAAGAAUUUGAUUGUCUGAGAACAAGAACCAAUUUAGGGAGUUCCUCAGUAGCUAUUUGCUAGUAGAUCAGUGUUUUCAAAACCCAGUUAGAAAGUCCCAAGCCCCACUCACCCCUGGACCACUAAUAUCAGGGAAGCCAUCUUUGCUUUUACAAAUCACUGAAUUGUCUCCGGGGAGGCAAAGAGGCAAUGAUCUCCUCUUGGGGGCUGCUGUCUUUUUUACGGUCAUCAGAUCUUGUCAUGGGCUCCAGCCACAGGGGAAUGUUGGUAACACCUGGAAAAGGGAGGGUUGUCUCUUUAAGUACUGGGAAUGUUUAACUGGAAAUCCUUUGUGGAUGGGUCCAAGAUCUGUAUAGCCUCUGUCCUUCUGAUGUGGAAUGCCUCCCUAGCACAGGGCCCCAAUUGGUCUCCUGCUCUUUGUUGCCAACAACCAUCUCAGCUUGGGCCAGACGUCAUGAAAAGAUCCAGUAACAGCAUGAUGCUUCAUGUGGGGGGUCCUUCCGUGGUCUUCCUCUUUGUAGCUACCCUCUUGUCUCCAGCAUCACUUGCACCCCAUUUUCUCCUAUCACAAUGCAAAUAUGAACUGUGUCUGUUUAUUAGUGGGUUUCCUUCGGAGUACUCUUUCAGUUUAGGGAGGCGGCGGGGCGGGGGGGGGUUCUUUUCUGAAUUUUUAGUGUUGCAUAUGCUCAAUGCUCAAAGAAAGGUUUGACUUUCUGGUGGGCUCCCUUUCUGAACCUCUUUUUAAAGCUUCCUGUUGGACAUACCCUUUCUUUUCCAAAAUGGCAGUUUCGUGUCCUGUGAGACAGGAAAUGCCUUUUCUCUUGAUUGCCCCUUUUCAGUGGAAAUCUAUCACAAAGGCAAUCACAAAGAAUUCUUUCCUGCUAAGAAGUUGGGUGCUCCAGUCAUACCUGUCUUAUCUAGAAAGUGGUUCAAUUAUUUUCAUCUCUGACAAAAUGAUGAACUUCAGAGGAUUUGCCCAAGGAGAGAGGGUGGAAGGGUUGGCAUGGCUAGCUUCACUACCCUCAUGUGGAGUCAGAAACCUGAAAACAGCCUCGCUCUCAAGCAUGCAUUCCCCUCUUUGUCCGGGGAGUAACGAUGGCUGAGGCGUUGGCAUGCAGAUACUUGCAGAGUGAAAAUGGAUACACUUCCCCAGCUCCUCAUCCCUGGCCUGGAGGACAGCCUGCCAGCCGUGCAUGCAUGUUGGUUUGGCACUGAGACAAAUGUUCCCUGGAGCAUAGACUGAAACCACCAAACUGAUAUCACAGGGGACACCGGCCAAAUCCUGACCUCGCUCUCUGCAGGUGAGAGGCUGUGGAAUUAACCUGUGAUGCUCUCCGGCUCCCGCCUGAUGGGUGGUCUGGAUUUGUUUUCUUUUUCUUUUUUUUUCUUUUUAAUGCCACAUUUGAAUCUCCUUGCUCUCCCCACCCGACUGGUAUCUACCAGCCACAGAGCCACUCUGCCGGUCUUGGCUUGGGAACAGUGGGCAGUGACUUGGCUCCAAGAAAUGGGCAAACCACACGAUUUCUUCUUGCCCCUUGAGAGGGAAGGGCCACUCAUGGGCUGUUCCAGCCUCGAGCCCGGGUGGCAGGGCCCUCGGGCUGGCAUCGCUGGCAUCUGUGGUCGCGGUCUGCUCCUUUUGCGUCCCUCUCUUCCGCAUUUUUCCUCCCACCGUUCCAACUUCUCCCAUCUCCCCCCCGCCUUUUUUGUUUCCAACCCUUAUUUAUUCAGAGCUUCCAAUAUUCUAAGUUUUUCAUGAAUCCAGGGCUUUAAUUUAGCAUGUGGGGUGCUGGCGCUUCCAGCGAGCUGCUUGGGUCAUUAUUUCCAACGUGAAGGAAUAAAGAGGCAGCAGGGUGCAGUGGACAGCAUGGGGGCUGGACGCCAGAAGGCCCCGUGCUAGUCCCUGUCUUGCAUCUAAGCAGCUCUGGAACCCUGGCCGGGCCUCGCCCUGGCUGCCAGGCUCAGUUUCCUCCCCAGAGGGAUGGGGAAUCGGGGCGAGAUGAUUUCUAAGGCUCGUCUCAUUCUGUGAUUCUGUGGAGCUCACUGGCCACGUGAAAUCCACAUUGGGUUGUGCCAGUGUCACUUUCCUUUGUGUUUUGAAAAACUAUAUUGUUACGAGGAUGAAUGAGGAGAUGUGAGCAGAGUCCCUAAGCUCGAUGUCUCCAACGCAGAAGACCGAGGGGAAAACCUUCCUGGAAAUCACUUUCCAGGGGCCAUCGAUUUAAAAAGGAAAAAAAAAAAAAAAAG
rnacentral:lncRNA from 1 species